CCCGGCCCGGCCCCGCAGCUCCCCACAGGCCCCCAGCCCUGCUCCCGGUCCCGCACCUCUGCGCCCGCUGCUGCCGCUGCCCACCACAGAGAAACCCCUGACAUCCUGACCUCCUGCUUUUCCUCUCCUGGAAACCGGGCAUGGAAAGGAUCUGGAUCAGCUGGCAAAUUGUGAGGAUAAAACAGUGCUGGAAAAUAAAAAUAAAGCAAUUGUGACAGUGGAUUGGAGAGUGAAUGGGCCACCUCUCCGAAGACAUUGGACAAAGCACUAGUACAUCAAGUCUCUCCACCCCCAUGGAGGAAUGCAAAACAACACGUUAUUUACAGAAACUGUGUGGGAAAGUUUCCCAAUAGAAUGUAAACUCAGAAGGCUUUAGAAAACUCAAGAAUCAGGGCGACAUCUCACCCUUUUUAGUUUAAAAGAAAAGGAAAAAUGAAUAAGGUUCAGUGUCUGUUCAUGGAGGAAUCAUCAGAGUGAUCACCCACCGUCAUCUUCAACUGAGUCAUCACUCGAUGAUCCAUCCAUUUGAUGACUUUCAGUUUGGUCACGGCUUCUAUGUUGCCCGUUUGUUGGAUUCUGUCUCUGCGGUUGCAGAUCAGGACGAACACACCUUGAAGGUACCCAGUGUACCCCAGUAUCUGUGGAUACACAAGCAUACCCGCGCCCCGAAGCGAUAAGGUCAUAGGGACCUUCCCAUUGUUUAGUGACUAAAUUCCGCACUCGAACUUUUGCUCGAGGCUGAUGUGCCUCGUCUGCAGCCUGCAAUGAGAGAUGAUGAUUUAAAAUGACAGGGUUAUUUGAAUUCUGCUGCACUGUAAGAUGAUUGAUGGUGUACAAUGCUUUCUCCAACCGACUGUGUGGGGUCUCACCCUGCAUUCCCCGUUUUUGUUUUUGAAGAACCCGCUUCAGAGUACCAUGAGCGCGUUCUACAAUAGCUUGGCCGGUUGGAGAAUGGGGGAUACCAAACUUGUGUGACACACCCCACAACUGCAGGAACUGCCGCACCUGCUGCGAUGCAUAAGCAGGAUCAUUGUCAGUUUUCACAGCAGAAGGUAUGCCCAGAACGGCAAAGGCCUGCCUCCAGUGGGCAAUGACAUCACGAGCCUUUUCUCCAGUGUGAGCGGAAGCCCACAUCGCAGAGGAGAACGUGUCCACCGUGACAUGCACAUACUUGAGCCGGCCAAACUCGGCAAUCUGGGUGACAUCAGUCUGCCAAAGCUCCAAGGCCCUAAGGCCUCUAGGGUUUACCCCUGCUGGUAAAGGCGGAGCAAGUGCAUGGCAGUCGUCACAGGACUCAACAAUGCCACGAGCCUCUGUUGGCGUUAGCUGAAACUGCUUCUGCAGAGUAUGUGCAUUCUGAUGGAAAAACCCAUGUGAUGCCUUGGCCUGUGCGAGUGUAUCAGGCUGGGGUGCUACCCACGCCGGAUUAGCCAACUUGUCAGCCCUCGCGUUACCUUCUGCUACAAACCCUGGUAAAUUGGUGUGACUUCUCACAUUCAGAACGUAAAAUGGAUGAACCCGGGCCUGAAUAGCACACCACAAGGUCUUCAGUAAAUGAAACAAGGCAGGGUUACUGACCUCCUUGAAAACUGAGUGACCCAACCGCUGUGCGAUGUCAGCCACAUAGGCAGAAUCCGUGACCAAAUUGAAAGGUUCCUGGGAAAAUCUCUCAAAUGCCAUAACAGCGGCCCUCAACUCAACCACUUGGGCCGACCCAUCCUGAUGACCUUUCAGGACCUUCCACUCAGAUCCAUCCUUCCAAGUAACAAUGGCCUUUCCUGUUUUCCCCGAACCGUCAGUAAAGACGGUGGGUCCUUGCACAGGUUCCUGACUAUUUUUGGGCCGCAAAGAGAUCUGCAUAGAUUUUGACACCUGCAGUAGCUUGUGGCUGGGCAGAUGAUAAGUGAUCUGCCCUGAAAAAUUUUCUAGAGCACAUUGCAGGGACACACAGUGUGCAAAGCUCCAGUCAAAGUCCUCCCGGGAUAUCGGGAGUAUGAUCUUUGCAGGAUCCGCACCCAUCAAUUGCAAACACCGUUGCCGGCAUUUGAUUAUCAACCGAGCAAUCAACUCAGCCAAUGUCGUUGCCGUCUUCUGCGGCUGAUGGGGCAGGAAAACCCAUUCCAAGAUGUGCAAGGGACCGGACCAUUUGUUACUCCAUUGACCAAUGAUACCUGUGGGAUGCGAAUCUGGAGUGGUAACGAACACAGUGACAUCAACGGAAAGAUCAAUGCGAUAAACCUGACGGGCAGAAACAGCUUGCUGAACCUCCUCCAGCACCUGACGUGCCUCAGGGGUCAAUGUGCGAGGUGAUUUUAAAUCAGAGUCUCCUUUCAACAGAUCAUACACAGGAGACAGUUGUGCAUCGGUUAGUCCCAAGUAUGGACGUAACCAGGUGAUGACACCCAUCAGUUUUUGAACAUCAUUCAGUGUCUUGACCAAGUGUGCAAAUUGCACCUCCUGGUGUUGGAUUGUCCGUUCCAGAAUUUUGACCCCCAAAUACUUCCAAGGAGGUUGCUGUUGAACCUUUUCUGGAGCCACCUGCAGCCCAUGAGCAUGCAAAGCAUCGAGCAACUGAGGCUGAAUCCUCAGCAGCUCAUCCUGAGUGGACGCAGCCACCAAGAUGUCGUCCAUAUAAUGAUACAGACGUGCAUCAGGAAACUGCUUGCGAACUCCAGACAAAGCACGAGCCACAUACCAUUGGCAUAUGACCGGGGAAUUGCGCAUCCCCUGUGGCAGAACUUUCCAUUGAUAUCGCUGUGCAGGCUCAUCAUUGUCAAUUGCUGGCACCGUGAAGGCAAAUUUUGGUCUGUCAUCAGGAUGCAAAGGAAUUGUAAAGAAACAAUCCUUCAAAUCCACGAUGAAGAUCGGCCAGCCUGCAGGAAGCAUGGUAGGCGAUGUCAUGCCCGCCUGCAAUGUUCCCAUGCCUUCCAUGACAGCAUUGACCUUCCGGAGGUCCUGUAACAACCUCCAUUUCCCAGACUUCUUUUUGAUGCAGAAAACAGGGGUGUUCCAGGGACUGUUAGAAGGCUCCAGACGACCCUGGUCCAGCUGCUCCUGCACCAAUUUCCGAAGGGCGAUCAGUUUAUCUUGAGGGAGGGGCCACUGGUUUUCCCAAACAGGUGUAUCCACCGGCCACCGUAUAGGAGGCGUAGAACACUCUGCGCCCUUCGCUGCAGUGGCCCCCAUCAAAAACCCGUCCCAAUGCGCACCCCCCACGCAGAUAGAACAUCCCUUCCCCAGAGGUUAGCAGGAAAAGAAGUAACAUAAGGCCUAAUCCAGGCCGUCUGUCCCUCUGGGUUUGUGACCAGCACAGGCCGUUGGCUCACAUAACACCGUGCUGUUCCCCCCAGGCCCGCAACAGACGUCUCCGCUGGAUCGAGGGGCCAGUCCGGAGGCCAGGCGGCAAGGGAGAGAACCAUGACAUCAGCGCCGCUGUCAAGAAGCCCGCGCAGGCGGAUCUCUGACGGUGUCGCAUCAGGGAUGGAGAGGGUACACAGCAUCUCGGGACGGUCUUUGGUCAGGACAGCAGUCCAGUGAACUUGAGGCGGCCCAGUGGAUCCAAAACCGCCAUCACCUCGCAACCGGUCAGUCGUCCUGCGAACAGAAGACUUAAAAGGCACAAGUUGAGCAAGCCGUGUCCCUUUUGGGAUCGUAACAGGGGGUGUGGGUGUGGAAACCAUUGCACAAAUCUGCCCUGUGAAGUCUGCAUCAAUGAGACCCAGGUGCACAAUGAUGCCCUGAAGGGUGGCACUAGACCUCGCCAUGAGGAAGGCGCUCAUGCCUUCACCCAAGGGACCAAAGGCGUCCAGGGGAACCUUGUGCACCUUGCAAGAGUCUAACACGACUGUUGCUGCUGUGCAGACAUCCACACCUGCUGACCCACAGGUGCUGGCGACAAGCUGGCCGAGCAGACCUCCAUGGGCUCUGGGGUCUGGAGAGGAACUUGUGUCUGAGCGCGCCCCCCCUUCGCGCUCCGCUUCCCGUUUCCCGGGCCUGGGAGUGCUUGGCCAUUAACAUGAACAGUCGCCUUGCAAACAUCUGCUAGAUGGCCUGGCCUUCCACACCGGCCACACACAUACAAGGGAAUUUUUCCUUUCUGUGCUUUCUUCCCCCGUUUGGUGCUCGCCUGAGCAGCACCCUGGGGCUGCUGCCAGCCCUGCGGUGCUGCCCAGACCGGCUGCGCAGCAGCAGCCCAAGCAUCCGCCUUCCGAACCAAGGGGCCUAGGUCUGCACAGGCCGCUGCCAUCUGUGAAAGUGUAGCCCCUUCAGGAAGAGCCUGUAUGACUCUCUUGCAUUCUGCGUUGCAGUGGAUCCUAGCAAAUCUCGCAAGGACCAUUCACCUUAGCUCAGGUUCUACCACCUGCCGCUCCACCGAGGCAGUCAACCUCGAUGCAAAAUCCAUGAAUGACUCAUCGGCCCUUUGAACAACAGUCAGAAAGGGUUCCAUCGGAGCAGCCAUUUCUAAGGUCUGGAUCACAGCUGCUAAGCCUAACGUCCUGCACUGCUCAAGCACGAGAGGAUUGUAUCCAGCCUGCCCCUGAGGAUCAACAUAAUUACCUGUGCCCAUCAACAUGUCGGCGGUAGCUACACGUCUGGGAUCCUGCUGCCCCCGCGUAGCAUUCUUCCGUACUGCUCUGGCCACUAAAGCGGCCCACUUGUCCUCAAACACGUCAGAUUGCACAGGGUUAAAAAGAGCCUGAGCCACAGAAAGAAUAUCGGAAGGCGUCAGCAGGUUAGCAACAAGUAAUCGGAUCGUCUGCAUAACCUCAUCAGACCCAACACCAUACUGUGCAACGGUGUCUCGGAUUUCCUUCAACACCUUAAAUGAAAAGGGCUGAUGAGUGUUAUGAGUAACACCCCUAAGCACAGGGAAAGCCUGAGGACCCCCUGGCGGGACGGGGUGGGCUGCCCGCCUGCCGGGGCGGGGUCCGAUGGAACAGUGACCAAGGCCCCGCCUUUGGCGGCCCCCACCGCCUGCGCAUGCCCGGCAGGCCGCGCAGGCUCAGGGAUUGGAGCGGGUUCCUCCUCAGAAGAUGAACCCGAGACCGGGCCGGGUGAACGCGCCUGCGUCUUCUCCAGGGGAAAUGUAACACCACAGUUCGGGCAAUUCACCGUCACCGAGUCAGACGCAAUCCGAGGCGGGGGCUGAUCCACGGGCCCCCGUUCACCCCCGAGCGCCGGGAAGGCACAAAGAGAAAGUGCUUUCCCGCCCAGCCCACUACGCCUGCGACGCGGGGCAGGGCGAGGCGGCCGAACCGGCUCCACCGACCGGAUGCCUGGAGCCAGUGGGCUGGGAGCCCGAACCACACCAGAGGAGGAGCCACCUUCCGGCUCCCUCCCCCCGGGGCUAGGGGAAUCAGGGCAACUGUACAGAGACUCGGCUUCCCCAGCAUCCGCAUCCAAUACAGAUAGGUCCCCCAGAGAAGCCCGAGAACUGCCAAUCUCAGACCCCUGCCAAAUGGCAUCCAACCUCUUAAACAGCAUCAUCAGCGGCCCAACAUCUUCAAAACGAUUAUCAGGCAGGGCGUCCAUGAGGCAAUCUCCCACAGGAGACCAAUUCUCCCAGGAAAGGGCCUCAGCAAGAUUGGGAAAGAAUCCCUGUUCCCUUGCCCAUAAAAACAGCCUCUCAAAAUCAUCCCAAUAAAAAGGAACGCGUUUCCGCUUCAGCACCUCCCUCCAAACGUCCAAAGCCACAGACUCCUCCCUAAUGCCCUCAGAGCUCUCCAUUACCAAAAAAAACCCCAGCAACAGGCAACGCGCUGAACAAACAGAAAGACCUCACCAACAGUUGCCAGCCUAAGCUGCAAUACACUUCGGCGGUCACCAGAUGUCGCUAUAGGACACGAGAAAGCACAACGCGAGCCACCUGCCACCUUGCAAGGCAAAAGAGCAAGUUUAUUUUCUGACUCCAACUUUUCUACUUCUCCAAAGGUGACAGUGGAUUGGAGAGUGAAUGGGCCACCUCUCCGAAGACAUUGGACAAAGCACUAGUACAUCAAGUCUCUCCACCCCCAUGGAGGAAUGCAAAACAACACGUUAUUUACAGAAACUGUGUGGGAAAGUUUCCCAAUAGAAUGUAAACUCAGAAGGCUUUAGAAAACUCAAGAAUCAGGGCGACACAUGACCACAGUUUCACAUGAUUAUUCUUUCUGAUUAAACAGUAAUUAUAUUUAAUUACUAAACAGU
ensembl:lncRNA